AUGAACGCUAGCUACAGGCUUAACACAUGCAAGUCGAGGGGCAGCAUGGUCUUAGCUUGCUAAGACUGAUGGCGACCGGCGCACGGGUGAGUAACACGUAUCCAACCUGCCGUCUACUCUUGGACAGCCUUCUGAAAGGAAGAUUAAUACAAGAUGGCAUCAUGAGUCCGCAUGUUCACAUGAUUAAAGGUAUUCCGGUAGACGAUGGGGAUGCGUUCCAUUAGAUAGUAGGCGGGGUAACGGCCCACCUAGUCUUCGAUGGAUAGGGGUUCUGAGAGGAAGGUCCCCCACAUUGGAACUGAGACACGGUCCAAACUCCUACGGGAGGCAGCAGUGAGGAAUAUUGGUCAAUGGGCGAGAGCCUGAACCAGCCAAGUAGCGUGAAGGAUGACUGCCCUAUGGGUUGUAAACUUCUUUUAUACAAGGAAUAAAGUCGGGUAUGCAUACCCGUUUGCAUGUACUUUAUGAAUAAGGAUCGGCUAACUCCGUGCCAGCAGCCGCGGUAAUACGGAGGAUCCGAGCGUUAUCCGGAUUUAUUGGGUUUAAAGGGAGCGUAGAUGGAUGUUUAAGUCAGUUGUGAAAGUUUGCGGCUCAACCGUAAAAUUGCAGUUGAUACUGGAUAUCUUGAGUGCAGUUGAGGCAGGCGGAAUUCGUGGUGUAGCGGUGAAAUGCUUAGAUAUCACGAAGAACUCGGAUUGCGAAGGCAGCCUGCUAAGCUGCAACUGACAUUGAGGCUCGAAAGUGUGGGUAUCAAACAGGAUUAGAUACCCUGGUAGUCCACACGGUAAACGAUGAAUACUCGCUGUUUGCGAUAUACUGCAAGCGGCCAAGCGAAAGCGUUAAGUAUUCCACCUGGGGAGUACGCCGGCAACGGUGAAACUCAAAGGAAUUGACGGGGGCCCGCACAAGCGGAGGAACAUGUGGUUUAAUUCGAUGAUACGCGAGGAACCUUACCCGGGCUUAAAUUGCAGAUGAAUUACGGUGAAAGCCGUAAGCCGCAAGGCAUCUGUGAAGGUGCUGCAUGGUUGUCGUCAGCUCGUGCCGUGAGGUGUCGGCUUAAGUGCCAUAACGAGCGCAACCCUUGUUGUCAGUUACUAACAGGUUCCGCUGAGGACUCUGACAAGACUGCCAUCGUAAGAUGUGAGGAAGGUGGGGAUGACGUCAAAUCAGCACGGCCCUUACGUCCGGGGCUACACACGUGUUACAAUGGGGGGUACAGAGGGCCGCUACCACGCGAGUGGAUGCCAAUCCCCAAAACCUCUCUCAGUUCGGACUGGAGUCUGCAACCCGACUCCACGAAGCUGGAUUCGCUAGUAAUCGCGCAUCAGCCACGGCGCGGUGAAUACGUUCCCGGGCCUUGUACACACCGCCCGUCAAGCCAUGGGAGCCGGGGGUACCUGAAGUGCGUAACCGCGAGGAGCGCCCUAGGGUAAAACUGGUGACUGGGGCU
rnacentral:rRNA from 1 species